rnacentral:sRNA from 1 species
GUUUUUCUUUAUCUUU